rnacentral:rRNA from 1 species
UACGGAGGAUGCGAGCGUUAUCCGGAUUUAUUGGGUUUAAAGGGUGCGUAGGCGGACUGUCAAGUCAGCGGUAAAAUACGGGGGCUCAACCCCGUCCGGCCGUUGAAACUGGGGGCCUUGAGUGGGCGAGAAGAAGGCGGAAUGCGUGGUGUAGCGGUGAAAUGCAUAGAUAUCACGCAGAACCCCGAUUGCGAAGGCAGCUUACCAGUCUGCGACUGACGCUCAGGCACGAAAGUGUGGGUAUCGAACAGG